rnacentral:tRNA from 1 species
GGAAGCGUGCCAGAGCGGUUGAAUGGGAUAGUUUCGAAAACUAUUAUACCCGUAAGGGUAUCGGAGGUUCGAAUCCUCCCGCUUCCG